AAAUUGUUUGUCCUUUGGGAUGCUUUGUCAGUAAACAAGCACUCCUUUUAUCACUCGAUUCAUUACAUAACAUAUCGAUUAAAUAAUGGAAAAUGUAAUUAUCUGGAAUUUUUUCUGUACUGUAUACCUACUACGUAUUUAGUAUAUCAAGUUGCAAUUUAUAAAUUGCCGUGGUAAUUUAUGAUCGAUCUAGCGGCAUAAUACAGUAAGCAGCGGGCAAAAUACCUAUCAAAAGAAGUGUAGGUACCUAUAAUGUGAUAUAUUUUGCACUCUUCACAGCGUGUUCGGUUUUUUCUCAACAAAAUCGGUGCAUACAUAACGAUUCAACUAUGCGUGUAUACGACUGACCGACACCAUUUGUCGUAGAGACUUUUCCUAACAUGGUAUGGAGAUGUAGCACGUAGCCACAGUAAAGUUAAAUCAAUCGUUAGCGUUACCUGCUUGAGUAAUCCUUUUGUUAAUAAAAUGCGUAGUGGGUUUUUCGGGAGAACAUAUCAAUCCGGAGAAACCAAUUCCAUCGAAAUAAUCGACGCAAAAUUCGUCGUGCGAAAACCUCUGAUUCCAGUGGUGCAAAUGCAAGCUGCCAUCUUUUUCGAGUGCGAAAUCGUCGUCUGGAUAUUUCGACUUAUUAAAUAGAAUUUAAUGCUCUACAUUAUUGAUUGGAAAGUAAAGAGGUGGACAGAUCAAGGGAAAGCAGAUGUGAACGAGGGAGAGAGUAGAGGAAUGGAUGAGGAUACUUUUAGAAAAAGGGGAAAACAACAAUUUUUUUUAUUGUAGAACGGUUGUUUCAGACACAGCUAUAUGCAAUGUAUAACCGAUUAUUAUGUAACUAAAUGUAUGCAGAGGAAACGAGAAAGGCAUUUUAUAAUCUACAUAAUAUUAUUUGACCAAAUUUGUCCCUAACACAUACCUAUACCCAAUUAAAAAAUGCGAAAAUAAUUUCUUGCAACUCCGAUUUAUAAAAAAAUUGGAGACGGUUGCAUCUUGGUGUAUUUUCGAUAAAUGCAAAAUUUUGCGCGCGAAUCCUGCCAAUUACCGAAGUUGUGUCAAUCAAGUCAGACUUGUUAAAAGUUAUUAACUCGGUCGCGGUUGGUCAUUGUUAAUCAAUUUAAAUUCGGUCAAGAUAGAUAGCAUAGUAAUAAAAUUAUUGUGGUCAGUUAUAAUAAACCUAUAUUUGAGGUGUUGCAAAUUUUUUAUGAAUGAUGCUCGUAAUAUUGCAAUUUAUUAUCGUUGGAGUUUUGGUAUUUAUAUAUCAAACUAUUUAAAAACAUACAUAGGUCGUAGGUAUUUAAAAGACAAUGUUCAACAUCACUGUUGAAUCUCAUAUUCAAUCGUAAUAGCAAGCAUUGAAUUUAUAACUAUCAAUUCAAUGGUAAUAGCAUAGCUUACCAAAUGAAUACACUGGAUCUGCUAAUUUCCUCUCCUCGUGGAAACAAACAAGCCCCGUUAAAUUUCUAUCCAUCACAUCAUCAAUAAACACUUCCAAGCAAUAUCGGUCGGGAGUUAGAGUUUCGCCGUUGCUGUCGUUUAGGUUUGCUGUACGAGCCUGUAAUAUCCUCUCUCUCCACAAAUUUCUCCCAUUAUAAGGUAAUAAUUAUCGACUCCGACUGUCGUCCGCCGAUCCCCAUUAUAGACAUUGAAGUAAAAGUAUUCGCUGGUAUUAUUUAAUGGUUGGCACGUCUCAUUGAUCAUCGCAUAUCCGAGACCGCAGCAUUUGCGAAUACACGAGCGGACUUGGCAAACGCACCCUCUUUGCGCCCCAAGAUAUCGAAAUUGCACUUCAGGCGGAAACGUGAUGCCGUCGUAGACGAUUGAGCCGUCCUUAUUAAAUGAAAAAAACCGCCACCCAUAGGAGUGCUGGAAUCAUCUUGCUUGCUAACGGUUUCACUAAUUACACUCACUAUGGUCCUGCAUCAUAAUUAUAUAAACACACUCUGAUGUGGUUAAUAACGAAC